rnacentral:rRNA from 1 species
CAGUCGCCACGGUAAUACGGAGGGAGCUAGCGUUGUUCGGAAUUACUGGGCGUAAAGCGCGCGUAGGCGGUUACUCAAGUCAGAGGUGAAAGCCCGGGGCUCAACCCCGGAACUGCCUUUGAAACUAGGUGACUAGAAUCUUGGAGAGGUCAGUGGAAUUCCGAGUGUAGAGGUGAAAUUCGUAGAUAUUCGGAAGAACACCAGUGGCGAAGGCGACUGACUGGACAAGUAUUGACGCUGAGGUGCGAAAGCGUGGGGAGCAAACAGGAUUAGAUACCCCGGUAGUCCCUGUCUCUUAUAA